rnacentral:rRNA from 1 species
AACGUAGGAGGCAAACGUUAUCCGGAGUUACUGGGCGUAAAGGGCGUGUAGGUGGUUGCGUAAGUCUGGCGUGAAAUUUUUCGGCUUAACCGGGAAAGGUCGUCGGAUACUGCGUAGCUAGAGGACGGUAGAGGCGUGUGGAAUUCCGGGUGUAGUGGUGAAAUGCGUAGAGAUCCGGAGGAACACCAGUGGCGAAGGCGGCAUCCUGGACCAACACUGACGCUGAGGAGCGAAAGCCAGGGGAGCAAACGGG